UACGUAGGGUGCAAGCGUUAUCCGGAAUUAUUGGGCGUAAAGAGCUCGUAGGCGGUUUGUCGCGUCUGCUGUGAAAACCCGAGGCUCAACCUCGGGCCUGCAGUGGGUACGGGGCAGACUAGAGUGCGGUAGGGGGAGAUUGGAAUUCCUGGUGUAGCGGUGGAAUGCGCAGAUAUCAGGAGGAACACCGAUGGCGAAGGCAGAUCUCUGGGCCGUAACUGACGCUGAGGAGCGAAAGCGUGGGGAGCGAACAGG
rnacentral:rRNA from 1 species